rnacentral:rRNA from 1 species
UACGGGGGGGGCAAGCGUUGUUCGGAAUUACUGGGCGUAAAGGGCUCGUAGGCGGCCAACUAAGUCAGACGUGAAAUCCCUCGGCUUAACCGGGGAACUGCGUCUGAUACUGGUUGGCUUGAAUCCGGGAGAGGGAUGUGGAAUUCCAGGUGUAGCGGUGAAAUGCGUAGAUAUCUGGAGGAACACCGGUGGCGAAGGCGGUUCUCUGGGCCUUACCUGACGCUGAGGAGCGAAAGCGUGGGGAGCGAACAGG